rnacentral:sRNA from 1 species
AAAUGUCUGCUUUCCAUCGUAAUGACCUCAGACAAUCUCGGGAAUGGUUGGAUGAUGAGUGGC